rnacentral:rRNA from 1 species
AGAGUUUGAUCCUGGCUCAGAACGAACGCUGGCGGCAGGCCUCCCACAUGCAAGUCGAGCGCGCCUUUCGGGGUGAGCGGCGGACGGGUUAGUAACGCGUGGGAAUAUACCCUUUGGUACGGAAUAGCCUCUGGAAACGGAGAGUAAUACCGUAUGACCCCUUCGGGGGAAAGAUUUAUCGCCAAAGGAUUAGCCCGCGUUAGAUUAGGUAGUUGGUGGGGUAAUGGCCUACCAAGCCUACGAUCUAUAGCUGGUUUUAGAGGAUGAUCAGCAACACUGGGACUGAGACACGGCCCAAACUCCUACGGGAGGCAGCAGUGGGGAAUCUUGGACAAUGGGGGCAACCCUGAUCCAGCCAUGCCGCGUGAGUGAUGAAGGCCUUAGGGUCGUAAAGCUCUUUCGCCUGUGAAGAUAAUGACGGUAGCAGGUAAAGAAACCCCGGCUAACUCCGUGCCAGCAGCCGCGGUAAUACGGAGGGGGUUAGCGUUGUUCGGAAUUACUGGGCGUAAAGCGCACGUAGGCGGACCAGAAAGUUGGGGGUGAAAUCCCGGGGCUCAACCCCGGAACUGCCUCCAAAACUAUUGGUCUAGAGUUCGAGAGAGGUGAGUGGAAUUCCGAGCGUAGAGGUGA